UACGUAGGGUGCGAGCGUUGUCCGGAAUUAUUGGGCGUAAAGAGCUCGUAGGUGGUUUGUCGCGUUGUUCGUGAAACUCACAGCUCAACUGUGGGCGUGCGGGCGAUACGGGCAGACUGGAGUACUGCAGGGGAGACUGGAAUUCCUGGUGUAGCGGUGAAAUGCGCAGAUAUCAGGAGGAACACCGGUGGCGAAGGCGGGUCUCUGGGCCGAUACUGACGCUGGAGGAGCGAAAGCGUGGGGAGCGAACAGG
rnacentral:rRNA from 1 species